rnacentral:rRNA from 1 species
UACGGGGGGGGCAAGCGUUGUUCGGAAUUACUGGGCGUAAAGGGUGCGUAGGCGGCUUUGUAAGUCAGUGGUGAAAUAUGGCAGCUCAACUGUCAGGGUGCCAUUGAUACUGCGGAGCUUGAGUACAGAUGAGGUAGGCGGAAUUGACGGUGUAGCGGUGAAAUGCUUAGAUAUCGUCAAGAACACCGAUAGCGAAGGCAGCUUACUAGGCUGUAACUGACGCUGAGGCACGAAAGUGUGGGGAUCAAACAGG